rnacentral:rRNA from 1 species
GAUGAACGCUAGCUACAGGCUUAACACAUGCAAGUCGAGGGGUAACGAGAGGGAAGCUUGCUUUCCUUGUCGACGACCGGCGCACGGGUGAGUAACGCGUAUCCAACCUGCCCCCAACUAGGGAAUAACCUUGCGAAAGUAAGACUAAUACCCUAUAAUUUCCUCAGAUGUCAUCUGACGAGGAAUAAAGAUUUAUCGGUUGUGGAUGGGGAUGCGUCUGAUUAGCUUGUUGGCGGGGUAACGGCCCACCAAGGCAACGAUCAGUAGGGGUUCUGAGAGGAAGGUCCCCCACGUUGGAACUGAGACACGGUCCAAACUCCUACGGGAGGCAGCAGUGAGGAAUAUUGGUCAAUGGGCGGAAGCCUGGACCAGCCAAGUAGCGUGCAGGAUGACGGCCCUAUGGGUUGUAAACUGCUUUUAUACAGGAAUAAAGUUAGCCACGUGUGGUUAUUUGUAGGUACUGUAUGAAUAAGGACCGGCUAAUUCCGUGCCAGCCGCCGCGGUAA